GACGAACGCUGGCGGCGUGCUUAACACAUGCAAGUCGAACGGCAAGGCCCUGCUUUUGUGGGGUGCUCGAGUGGCGAACGGGUGAGUAACACGUGAGUAACCUGCCCUCGACUUUGGGAUAACUUCAGGAAACUGGGGCUAAUACCGGAUAGCAGCCCCUGCUGCAUGGUGGGGGUUGGAAAGUUUCGGCGGUUGGGGCUGGACGCGCGGCUUAUCAGCUCGUUGGUGGGGUAGUGGCUUACCAAGGCUUUGACGGGUAGCCGGCCUGAGAGGGUGACCGGCCACAUUGGGACUGAGAUACGGCCCAGACUCGAACGGGGGGCAGCAGUGGGAAAUAUUGCACAAUGGGCGGAAGCCUGAUGCAGCAACGCCGCGUGCGUGAUGACGGCCUUCGGGUUGUAAACCGCUUUCGCCUGUGACGAAGCGUGAGUGACGGUAAUGGGUAAAGAAGCACCGGCUAACUACGUG
rnacentral:rRNA from 1 species